GAUGAAGAACGCAGCGAAAUGCGAUAAGUAAUGUGAAUUGCAGAAUUCAGUGAAUCAUCGAAUCUUUGAACGCACAUUGCGCCCGCCAGUAUUCUGGCGGGCAUGCCUGUCCGAGCGUCAUUUCAACCCUCGAACCCCUCCGGGGGGUCGGCGUUGGGGAUCGGCCCUUUACGGGGCCGGCCCCGAAAUACAGUGGCGGUCUCGCCGCAGCCUCUCCUGCGCAGUAGUUUACACACUCGCAUCGGGAGCGCGGCGCGUCCACAGCCGUUAAACACCCCAAACUUCUGAAAUGUUGACCUCGGAUCAGGUAGGAAUACCCGCUGAACUUAAGCAUAUCAAUAAGCGGAGGA
rnacentral:misc_RNA from 1 species